CGAACGCUGGCGGCGUGCCUAAUACAUGCAAGUCGAGCGGACAGAAGGGAGCUUGCUCCCGGAUGUUAGCGGCGGACGGGUGAGUAACACGUGGGUAACCUGCCUGUAAGACUGGGAUAACUCCGGGAAACCGGAGCUAAUACCGGAUAGUUCCUUGAACCGCAUGGUUCAAGGAUGAAAGACGGUUUCGGCUGUCACUUACAGAUGGACCCGCGGCGCAUUAGCUAGUUGGUGAGGUAACGGCUCACCAAGGCGACGAUGCGUAGCCGACCUGAGAGGGUGAUCGGCCACACUGGGACUGAGACACGGCCCAGACUCCUACGGGAGGCAGCAGUAGGGAAUCUUCCGCAAUGGACGAAAGUCUGACGGAGCAACGCCGCGUGAGUGAUGAAGGUUUUCGGAUCGUAAAGCUCUGUUGUUAGGGAAGAACAAGUGCAAGAGUAACUGCUUGCACCUUGACGGUACCUAACCAGAAAGCCACGGCUAACUACGUGCCAGCAGCCGCGGUAAUACGUAGGUGGCAAGCGUUGUCCGGAAUUAUUGGGCGUAAAGGGCUCGCAGGCGGUUUCUUAAGUCUGAUGUGAAAGCCCCCGGCUCAACCGGGGAGGGUCAUUGUAAACUGGGAAACUUGAGUGCAGAGUAGGAGAGUGGAAUUCCACGUGUAGCGGUGAAAUGCGUAGAGAUGUGGAGGAACACCAGUGGCGAAGGCGACUCUCUGGUCUGUAACUGACGCUGAGGAGCGAAAGCGUGGGGAGCGAACAGGAUUAGAUACCCUGGUAGUCCACGCCGUAAACGAUGAGUGCUAAGUGUUAGGGGGUUUCCGCCCCUUAGUGCUGCAGCUAACGCAUUAAGCACUCCGCCUGGGGAGUACGGUCGCAAGACUGAAACUCAAAGGAAUUGACGGGGGCCCGCACAAGCGGUGGAGCAUGUGGUUUAAUUCGAAGCAACGCGAAGAACCUUACCAGGUCUUGACAUCCUCUGACAACCCUAGAGAUAGGGCUUUCCCUUCGGGGACAGAGUGACAGGUGGUGCAUGGUUGUCGUCAGCUCGUGUCGUGAGAUGUUGGGUUAAGUCCCGCAACGAGCGCAACCCUUGAUCUUAGUUGCCAGCAUUCAGUUGGGCACUCUAAGGUGACUGCCGGUGACAAACCGGAGGAAGGUGGGGAUGACGUCAAAUCAUCAUGCCCCUUAUGACCUGGGCUACACACGUGCUACAAUGGACAGAACAAAGGGCUGCGAGACCGCAAGGUUUAGCCAAUCCCACAAAUCUGUUCUCAGUUCGGAUCGCAGUCUGCAACUCGACUGCGUGAAGCUGGAAUCGCUAGUAAUCGCGGAUCAGCAUGCCGCGGUGGAAUAACGUUCCCCGGGCCUUGUACACACCGCCCCGUCACACCACGAGAGUUUGCAACACCCGAAGUCGGUGAGGUAACCUUUAUGGAGCCAGCCGCCGAAAGUGGG
rnacentral:rRNA from 1 species